GUCGGGAGUCGUAGUCGGAGUCGGAGUCGGAGUCGGCAGACUGAGGUACGGUGCGCAUGCAUGGAAAUCGGUGCGCCAGCAGCCACAGAGCAGAUGAAAAGAAAUCGGGCUGGCAUACCAUACCGAAGUAUACCGGUCCGAAACCGGUCCAUAGCCCAUAGAAAAUCAGUUUUGAAAUGCAAUAAAGCGUGGUUGUUAAAAGUGAAGCGUAACGAGCUACGAACGAACGAGCAACAACAACAAAAAUGUCCCUUUUUAUACUGCUGCUCGUACACUGCAAACUAAACACCUGAAGCGGGACAAAUAGCCGGAGCGACAGCGAGAGCAACAUCAGCCGAUUGAGAUAUGAGAUCUCUUUGUUUCUCUCUCUAUCACUCUCUCUCUCUCUCUUUGCACCAACGACCUACCGUCCGGUACUUUUAUAUGCAAAAUCAGGUAGAUUCCAUUGAAUUGGAAAACAACUCCUCAUUUUUACUAAUUCAAUACUUGCUCUUCGUUUUGAAUUUUGUGUGUCUCUUGUCCGAGUCUUAGCAUUGGGGACGUUCGCCGUUCAAGCACAGCUUGCUAAACGCUCAGUGACGGAUUUCAUACGAUUGUGCCGAUUAUUUGUGAUUAUCAUCCAUAAAUUCACCCGUCAUGCCGAUAUAUGUAGGCCAGAAGCAAUGCAUCAUAUAUGGACCGUACUGUUUUUACGCUAUAUUACAGAACAUCAGAGCACAGCAGAGCAACACGUCUCAAGCUUUUCAUACUCAAAUGAUAAGCGGAAAUGGAUUCCCAUUUCCGGUUUCACAGGAACAGUGUUCCUUUUGGUUAUAAUAACGAUCAGACCUAAUCCAGAUUCAGCAAUCUUGGAGAUAUGCUAAUUUUCUAUGAUGCGGUUCGGGGCGGAGUUUUGAAAUACACUUGUAACAGUUACACAUCACAGCUGUUAAGUCUCUGACUACGGACGGACAGACAGACAUGGCUCAAUCGACUCGGCUAUUGAUGCUGAUCAAGAAUAUAGUACAUAUAUACAUUAUGGGGUCGGAAACGCUUCCUUCUGGACGUUACACCUAUACUCAUACUCAUACUCCUAUACUCACUUUGAGUAUCGGGUAUAAAAACGGAGACAUUUUCCGUUUCAAUAAAAAUUAAAGCGCUUUUUAUGCAACAAAACGAAUCUGAAUAUACAUAUAUUUUGACACCAUUAACAGGGCAAAUAAGCUUUUGCCUUCUUUACAAAUAUUUGCUUUUGGCCCAACCUCCAGUUUGGCUCGAAAAUAAUUGGUCAGGGCAACAAAAAUUAUUUGCCCGUAACAGCACAAAUGCGCGCGUAACAGGGCAGACUAUGCUCUUAACAUGCGCAUAACAGAACAGUUAGGUAAAGACAGCUGAUUCCCGCCACAUUUAAUUCAAAAUGUAAGUGCAACAUAUUCACUUUCACCAAUAGAAGUUUAAUUAUUCUCAGACAUGUUAAAUGUUUAAAUGAUAUUCUUAAAUCGCGCACUUUCUGCCGUCGUUUUGGACAUGCAAAACGAAAGAGUUAGUGAAAAUGGGAGCCUGCUGAAAACUCUAAUAUGUACAAAUAUCUCACAAUCUCACAAUCAGGAAAUUUUUGUUUUGUGAACAGUCAGUUCUGUGCUUUUGCGAACCGCGAUACCGAACGACAUAUAAAAUAUGUUGUAUAAAUUACAUAAAUCAUAGGUUCGCAUAUGUAUUGACUGAGUACCAUGUAUAAACUAGAGCCGAGGCCCUUGACUCUGCGCACAAAGUUCUUACUAGUUUUUUUUCUUUCCUUCAUUUGUAACGUAACCUAUGUAUAUUAAUCUUUUAUGUAUUUUUUCUUGAUGCAUGCCAAAGAUAGACCUCGACCUAAACAGCCUGUGCCCGCGUGUUCCGCCUUACCCAAAGGCCGCCUUACCUCAAUAACAUACAAAAGAAUGUGGAGCUCUGAUGCAAUUCGAGCAUAGAAUCUCGCAGUGCGAGGGGAAGCUAUUGGGUGAUUCCAAAAAGUUCAGCGUUUCCACGGAUACACACUGGCUUGAGCACAUAUCAUCGCUGUUUUUCUUUUGAAUCACUCAAACUGUGCCGCAAAACAGAGCGUAUUGACCAUGAGUGGAAAAGCAAUGAGUAAAAAUAAGCCCGUAUGAUUGAAUUCAUGUGGAGGAGCGGUCGGCACGUGAGAGGUCGCAGAGCCGAAGCACUCUUCGGCUGGGAACUCUCACGUUUCGCUCUUUUCGGGUCGAGUCAGUCAGCUGUAUGCCAGUAAACCGGCUCUCACAUUAUUCUAUAUUAUUUUAUUAUAUUCCUGAGUCUCAGUAUACAUAUAUGUAUGUAUGGUAAUACAGUGGCGGAGAGUAGAAUAUGGACACUCUUGCAAGCUAACUUUAAAAUGAUGGGGCUAUUUAAAAAACGGAUGUGUAUAUAGUCCGAAAAACGAAAUUUUUUUUUAGAUUCAUUCAUUAGAUUCAUAAGCUAUUAAUUAACUUUAUGUUUUGAUGUCAUAAUGUUAGAGGGGUAAACAAACAAAAAAACAUAAAAAUUUUGAAAAUUACGAAGUCUGAUAUGACGGCCAUAUUGGCUUCACGCUCUCAAAAUUUAAGCCUUGAGCUUAAGGACGGCCGUCGCGGACGUAGAGCAUCAAAGAAAUCACCUUUUAGCCUAAUAAUCAGAAAAGACAAAUUUUGCAUCGAUCGAAUCAGGGAUGAUAUUCGUAUGGAAACGAUGGGGUUGCAUGCCUGUUUUUCGUUCGAUGGGAAAUUUUGCAGCAUUUUGCAGUUCAGCAAAAUAAAUAGAAGAUAAUACUGGAAAGGUAUCCGGAACUGGAAAAGGGAAGCAAGCGAGAACGUGCCAGCCGGCUAGAUGGCAAUAAUGAAGACAAAUUUAUUCUCAUUUAAUGAGUUUUUUUUGACUGUCCACAUUUCACUGUUCGCCACUGUAUGUAUGGCCAUGGAAAUGUAUUUGGCUGUGCAGCAUAGGCUAGAAGUUGCCGGCCACAGUGAAGCCCCACAGAGUGGGCCCCAGAGACGGUGCACACGUACAGAGUGUGAUGCAGGGGUAGACGAGGCACAGUGGGUUCUCAUUGCAGGCAGACAGAUUUGUAUUAUAGCAGUGGUCGGCCCCCAUACAUGAACAUGCAGUGCUUUGGUGUGCGUGGAUAGCAGGCUUCAACCACUGCACCCAUAACCGUAACCACAGCACAGAUCAGGGAACGGAAUGGGAAGAAUAGACGAAGCAGACACGAAAAAGGCAAACAAGGGAAAAGGGUGCAUACGUUGUGAAGCAGCUGUUGCUCUCCGAUAACUACCUGGCGUAAAGAGACGACAACAGCAAACCUGCUUUCAUGCCUCCGAAAAUAUGCUGAAAGAGAAAUUCCAGUGAAUAGCAGGUAGCGCAAGAGAGUGCGGAUUUUUCGAAGAUUCCAAAUCUUCUGGCUGGUCUUUUUACCCGAUCAAAUGGAAGUUAUCGUUCCUGUGAAAGGCGCGUGUGACAACGGUUAAGUCGUCAUAUGUACGACCAUACGACCAUACCAUACACAACGAAACCACCCGCAAGAUCUUUUCAACACCAAGCACAUCAGACUUACCUUG